GUGCAGCAGUCGAGAAACCUCCGCAAUGCGCGAAAGCGCGACGGGGCCACCCCGAGUGCCGCCCGCUGAGGGCGGCUUUUCCCCGGUGUAGACAGCCGGGGGAAUAAGGGGAGGGCAAGUCUGGUGUCAGCCGCCGCGGUAAUACCAGCUCCCCGAGUGGUGGGGACGAUUAUUGGGCCUAAAGCGUCCGUAGCCGGCCCGGCAAGUCUCCCGUUAAAUCCAGCGAUCUAAUCGCUGGACUGCGGGAGAUACUGUCGGGCUAGGGGGCGGGAGAGGCCGGCGGUAUUCCCGGGGUAGGGGUGAAAUCCUAUAAUCCCGGGAGGACCACCAGUGGCGAAGGCUGCCGGCUGGAACGCGCCCGACGGUGAGGGACGAAAGCCGGGGGAGCGAACCGGAUUAGAUA
rnacentral:rRNA from 1 species